rfam:Clohesyomyces aquaticus strain CBS 115471 BCR34scaffold_34, whole genome shotgun sequence.
GCAUCAGUAGCCCAGUGGUUAGGGUACUGCCUUCCCACUUUCUCUAGAUGGAAAGAGGCAGGGGUCGCGAGGUGAGUUAUAGUCUAAGAAGAUGGGUGCAGAGGAGCUGGGCUGAUGUGAAUCCAAGUUCGAACCUCGCCUGAUGCA